ACUCCUACGGGAGGCAGCAGUGGGGAAUAUUGCACAAUGGGGGAAACCCUGAUGCAGCCAUGCCGCGUGUGUGAAGAAGGCCUUGGGUUGUAAAGCACUUUCAGUAGGGAGGAAGGUAGUGUAGUUAACACCUGCAUUAUUUGUACGUUACCUACAGAAGAAGCACCGGCUAACUCCGUGCCAGCAGCCGCGGUAAGUACGGAGGGUGCGAGCGUUAAUCGGAAUUACGUGGGCGUAAAGCGCAUGCAGGCGGCCUGUUAAGUCAGAUGUGAAAGCCCGGGGCUUAACCUCGGAAUUGCAUUUGAAACUGGCGAGGCUAGAGUCUUGGUAGAGGGGGUUAGAAGUUUCAGGUGUAGCGGUGAAAUGCGUAG
rnacentral:rRNA from 1 species